rnacentral:rRNA from 12 species
ACAGGUGGUCAGGUAGAGAAUACUAAGGCGCUUGAGAGAACUCGGGUGAAGGAACUCGGCAAAAUUGUACCGUAACUUCGGGAGAAGGUACGCCGCUGACGGUGACGAGACUUGCUCUCUGAGCUAUUGGCGGUCGCAGUGAAAAGGCCCCUGCAACUGUUUAUUAAAAACACAGCACUCUGCAAACUCGUAAGAGGACGUAUAGGGUGUGACACCUGCCCGGUGCCGGAAGGUUAAUUGAUGGGGUUAGUUUUCGGACGAAGCUCUUGAUCGAAGCCCCGGUAAACGGCGGCCGUAACAAUAACGGUCCUAAGGUAGCGAAAUUCCUUGUCGGGUAAGUUCCGACCUGCACGAAUGGCGUAACGAUGGGGGCGCUGUCUCUACCCGAGACUCAGUGAAAUUGAAAUCGCCGUGAAGAUGCGGUGUAUCCGCGGCUAGACGGAAAGACCCCGUGAACCUUUACUACAGCUUGGCACUGAACAUUGAACCUACAUGUGUAGGAUAGGUGGGAGGCUUUGAAGCACAGUCGCUAGAUUGUGUGGAGCCGUCCUUGAAAUACCACCCUUGUAUGUUUGAUGUUCUAACAUUGUUCCCUUAUCGGGAAUGUGGACAGUGUCUGGUGGGUAGUUUGACUGGGGCGGUCUCCUCCCAAAGCGUAACGGAGGAGCACAAAGGUGGGCUAAGCAUGGUCGGACAUCAUGCGGUUAGUGUAAUGGCACAAGCCCGCUUGACUGCGAGACAGACACGUCGAGCAGGUACGAAAGUAGGUCAUAGUGAUCCGGUGGUUCUGUAUGGAAGGGCCAUCGCUCAACGGAUAAAAGGUACUCCGGGGAUAACAGGCUGAUACCGCCCAAGAGUUCACAUCGACGGCGGUGUUUGGCACCUCGAUGUCGGCUCAUCACAUCCUGGGGCUGAAGCCGGUCCCAAGGGUAUGGCUGUUCGCCAUUUAAAGUGGUACGCGAGCUGGGUUUAGAACGUCGUGAGACAGUUCGGUCCCUAUCUGGUGUGGGCGUUGGAUGAUUGAUGGGAGCUGCUCCUAGUACGAGAGGACCGGAGUGGACGAACCGCUGGUGUUCGGGUUGUCAUGCCAAUGGCAUUGCCCGGUAGCUAUGUUCGGACAGGAUAACCGCUGAAAGCAUCUAAGCGGGAAGCCCCUUCCAAGAUGAGAUCUCCCUGGACCCUCGAGGUCCCUGAAGAGCCGUUCAAGACCAGGACGUUGAUAGGUCGGGUGUGUAAGCGCUGCGAGGCGUUGAGCUAACCGAUACUAAUUGCUCGU